rnacentral:tRNA from 1 species
GCAUCGGUGAUUCAAUUCUCGCCUGACACGUGGGAGGCCCGGGUUCGAUUCCCGGCCUUUGCA